GGCGACGUAGCCAAGUGGUCUAAGGCGGGGGAUUGCAAAUCCCUUAUUCCCGGGUUCGAAUCCCGGCGUCGCCUCCA
rnacentral:tRNA from 1 species